rnacentral:rRNA from 1 species
AUUGAACGCUGGCGGCAUGCUUUACACAUGCAAGUCGAACGGCAGCGCGGGCUUCGGCCUGGCGGCGAGUGGCGAACGGGUGAGUAAUGCAUCGGAACGUGCCCAGUAGUGGGGGAUAGCCCGGCGAAAGCCGGAUUAAUACCGCAUACGACCUGAGGGUGAAAGCGGGGGACCGAAAGGCCUCGUGCUAUUGGAGCGGCCGAUGUCGGAUUAGCUAGUUGGUGGGGUAAAGGCUUACCAAGGCGACGAUCCGUAGCUGGUCUGAGAGGACGACCAGCCACACUGGGACUGAGACACGGCACAGACUCCUACGGGAGGCAGCAGUGGGGAAUUUUGGACAAUGGGGGCAACCCUGAUCCAGCCAUGCCGCGUGCGGGAAGAAGGCCUUCUGGUUGUAAACCGCUUUUGUUCGGGAAGAAAUACUCUGGGCUAAUACCCCGGGGGGAUGACGGUACCGGAAGAAUAAGCACCGGCUAACUACGUG